UGGGGAAUCUUGGACAAUGGGCGCAAGCCUGAUCCAGCCAUGCCGCGUGAGUGAUGAAGGCCCUAGGGUCGUAAAGCUCUUUCGCCAGGGAAGCCAUAGGUUAAUAGCCUGAGGAUUUGACGGUACCUGGUAAAGAAGCUCCGGCUAAGUCC
rnacentral:rRNA from 1 species